rnacentral:rRNA from 1 species
UCAGAACGAACGCUGGCGGCAUGCCUAACACAUGCAAGUCGAACGGACCCUUCGGGGUUAGUGGCGCACGGGUGCGUAACGCGUGGGAAUCUGCCCUUGGGUUCGGAAUAACUCGCCGAAAGGCGUGCUAAUACCGGAUGAUGUCGUAAGACCAAAGAUUUAUCGCCCAAGGAUGAGCCCGCGUAAGAUUAGCUAGUUGGUGGGGUAAAGGCCCACCAAGGCGACGAUCUUUAGCUGGUCUGAGAGGAUGAUCAGCCACACUGGGACUGAGACACGGCCCAGACUCCUACGGGAGGCAGCAGUGGGGAAUAUUGGACAAUGGGCGAAAGCCUGAUCCAGCAAUGCCGCGUGAGUGAUGAAGGCCUUAGGGUUGUAAAGCUCUUUUACCCGGGAUGAUAAUGACAGUACCGGAGA